rnacentral:rRNA from 1 species
GGGGCAAGCGUUGUUCGGAAUUAUUGGGCGUAAAGGGCAUGUAGGCGGUUUGGUAAGUUAAAGGUGAAAUACCAGGGCUUAACCCUGGGGCUGCUUUUAAUACUGCAGGACUAGAGUCCGGAAGAGGAUAGCGGAAUUCCUAGUGUAGAGGUGAAAUUCGUAGAUAUUAGGAGGAACACCAGUGGCGAAGGCGGCUGUCUGGUCCGGUACUGACGCUGAUGUGCGAAAGCGUGGGGAGCAAACAGGAUUAGAUACCCUGGUAGUCCACGCUGUAAACGAUGAGUGCUAA